rfam:Myotis lucifugus cont2.23519, whole genome shotgun sequence.
GCCAGUUUGGCUCAGAGGAUAGAGUGUCAGCCUGCAAACUGAAGGGUACCCGGUUCGAUUCUGGUCAAAGGCA